UACGAAGGGGGCUAGCGUUGCUCGGAAUCACUGGGCGUAAAGGGUGCGUAGGCGGGUCUUUAAGUCAGAGGUGAAAUCCUGGAGCUCAACUCCAGAACUGCCUUUGAUACUGAGGAUCUUGAGUACGGGAGAGGUGAGUGGAACUGCGAGUGUAGAGGUGAAAUUCGUAGAUAUUCGCAAGAACACCAGUGGCGAAGGCGGCUCACUGGCCCGUUACUGACGCUGAGGCACGAAAGCGUGGGGAGCAAACAGGG
rnacentral:rRNA from 1 species